UAGAAAUUAGUUUAUUUAAAAUGCUAAAUUGUUACUUUAGUGAAUUAUUUCUAG
rnacentral:tRNA from 2 species